AUUGAACGCUGGCGGCAUGCCUUACACAUGCAAGUCGAACGGCAGCACGGGAGCAAUCCUGGUGGCGAGUGGCGAACGGGUGAGUAAUAUAUCGGAACGUGCCCGGUCGUGGGGAUAACGUAGCGAAAGCUACGCUAAUACCGCAUACGAUCUAUGGAUGAAAGCGGGGGAUCGCAAGACCUCGCGCGAUUGGAGCGGCCGAUAUCAGAUUAGGUAGUUGGUGAGGUAAAGGCUCACCAAGCCGACGAUCUGUAGCUGGUCUGAGAGGACGACCAGCCACACUGGGACUGAGACACGGCCCAGACUCCUACGGGAGGCAGCAGUGGGGAAUUUUGGACAAUGGGCGCAAGCCUGAUCCAGCAAUGCCGCGUGCAGGAUGAAGGCCUCGGUUGUAAACUGCUUUGUACGGUAACGAAACGGUAGAGCUCUAAUACAGUUGCUAAUGACGGUACCGUAAGAAUAAGACACCGGC
rnacentral:rRNA from 1 species